rnacentral:rRNA from 1 species
UACAGAGGAUGCAAGCGUUAUCCGGAAUGAUUGGGCGUAAAGCGUCUGUAGGUGGCUUUUAAGUCCGCCGUCAAAUCCCAGGGCUCAACUCUGGACAGGCGGUGGAAACUACCAAGCUGGAGUACGGUAGGGGCAGGAGGGAAUUCCGGUGGAGCGGUGAAUGCGUAGAGAUCGGAAAGAACACCAACGGCGAAAGCACUCGUGCUGGGCCGACACUGACACUGAGAGCACGAAAGCUAGGGGAGCGAAUGGGA